rnacentral:lncRNA from 1 species
ACAUCAGCGUUUUUAUCCAAUCAGAUGGCAUGGCACCAGGGUCCAAAUUCAAAGAAUCUUCAUAUUACACGGUUGGAAUCUAAACAUUUUUUUUACAGGGGAGGGGGUAAACCAUAACUCGCCUCACAUUGUUUCUCCAAGAUGCAUGGACAAAUCAGAGCAGCUUUGAUAUCACUUGACAAGAUGUCCAGAAUGCUUUAGUUGCAGCCCUUAGGAUAACAGGGUUUUGAUAUAUCCUAUUUAAGAAUGAAAAAUUAAAGUGCCGGGCACUUGUUAAGGAAUUUAUAAAAGGAAACAUUGUAUUGGAAAUCAUAAAAGGACCCAUAAUAUGUGUUUGCUAUAUAGCUCACCCAAUGGCUGUAGCACCCCAUGAUGCAACAUUAUAUAUAACUUUGCUCCCAUCCCAGGCCUUUCGAAGCUUCCCCUUUUUCUUUUUCACAGAAAAUGUCUUGCUGAGAGCUGAUAUAAACAUGGCAAAAUAAACUUUCAGAAACUCAUUCCCAAUCUUUUAUCUAAUUAGCAAUAACUGUCUGAACUCUGACGUUGAGCACAAAAAUUUAUCUGGAUAAAA